rnacentral:rRNA from 1 species
AUUGAACGCUGGCGGCAGGCCUAACACAUGCAAGUCGAACGGUAACAGGAAGCAGCUUGCUGCUUCGCUGACGAGUGGCGGACGGGUGAGUAAUGUCUGGGAAACUGCCUGAUGGAGGGGGAUAACUACUGGAAACGGUAGCUAAUACCGCAUAACGUCGCAAGACCAAAGAGGGGGACCUUAGGGCCUCUUGCCAUCGGAUGUGCCCAGAUGGGAUUAGCUAGUAGGUGGGGUAACGGCUCACCUAGGCGACGAUCCCUAGCUGGUCUGAGAGGAUGACCAGCCACACUGGAACUGAGACACGGUCCAGACUCCUACGGGAGGCAGCAGUGGGGAAUAUUGCACAAUGGGCGCAAGCCUGAUGCAGCCAUGCCGCGUGUAUGAAGAAGGCCUUCGGGUUGUAAAGUACUUUCAGCGGGGAGGAAGGGAGUAAAGUUAAUACCUUUGCUCAUUGACGUUACCCGCAGAAGAAGCACCGGCUAACCCCGUG